rnacentral:rRNA from 1 species
CCUACGGGAGGCAGCAGUGAGGAAUAUUGGUCAAUGGGCGUGAGCCUGAACCAGCCAAGUAGCGUGAAGGAUGACUGCCCUACGGGUCGUAAACUUCUUUUAUAAAGGAAUAAAGUGAGGCACGUGUGCCUUUUUGUAUGUACUUUAUGAAUAAGGAUCGACUAACUCCGUGCCAGCAGCCGCGGUAAUACGGAGGAUCCGAGCGUUAUCCGGAUUUAUUGGGUUUAAAGGGAGCGUAGAUGGGUUGUUAAGUCAGUUGUGAAAGUUUGCGGCUCAACCGUAAAAUUGCAAUUGAUACUGGCAGUCUUGAGUACAGUUGAGGUAGGCGGAAUUCGUGGUGUAGCGGUGAAAUGCUUAGAUAUCACGAAGAACUCCGAUUGCGAAGGCAGCUUACUAAGCUGCCACUGACAUUGAUGCUCGAAAGUGUGGGUAUCAAACAGGAUUAGAUACCCUAGUAGUC